AAAUUGAAGAGUUUGAUCAUGGCUCAGAUUGAACGCUGGCGGCAGGCCUAACACAUGCAAGUCGAACGGUAACAGGAARCAGCUUGCUGYUUCGCUGACGAGUGGCGGACGGGUGAGUAAUGUCUGGGAAACUGCCUGAUGGAGGGGGAUAACUACUGGAAACGGUAGCUAAUACCGCAUAAYGUCGCAAGACCAAAGAGGGGGACCYUCGGGCCUCUUGCCAUCGGAUGUGCCCAGAUGGGAUUAGCUUGUUGGUGGGGUAACGGCUCACCWAGGCGACGAUCCCUAGCUGGUCUGAGAGGAUGACCAGCCACACUGGAACUGAGACACGGUCCAGACUCCUACGGGAGGCAGCAGUGGGGAAUAUUGCACAAUGGGCGCAAGCCUGAUGCAGCC
rnacentral:rRNA from 1 species